GCUGAGAGGGUAGAGGUUUAGCUGGUUUAUUUGGUGGUUGGCUGAGAGGGUAGAGGUUUAGCUGGUUUAUUUGGUGGUGGGCUGAGAGGGUAGAGGUUUAGCUGGUCUAUUUGGUGGUGGGCUGAGAGGGUAGAGGUUUAGCUGGUUUAUUUGGUGGUUGGCUGAGAGGGUAGAGGUUUAGCUGGUCUAUUUGGUGGUGGUCUGAGAGGGUAGAGGUUUAGCUGGUCUAUUUGGUGGUGGUCUGAGAGGGUAGAGGUUUAGCUGGUCUAUUUGGUGGUGGUCUGAGAUGGUAGAGGUUUAGCUGGUUUA